rnacentral:lncRNA from 1 species
CCUGUUUGGUUGCAGGAAGCAGCUUCUGCUUCUGGCUCCUGCUUUUCUUGAUCCGUUUGUGUAAAGAAGUAGAAGCACUUUUAAGAAGCUGUGAAUGCUAGCUUCUCUCUCACAGCUUCUGCUUCUUUUCCAAACACUUUAUUAACUUAUUUACUUCUCACUUCUGCUUCACUUCUUUAGUUUAAGCAAGAAGUCACUUCUUUUAAGCCUACCCAAACGGCCCC